rnacentral:sRNA from 2 species
GUCCUUUAGCGUGCAGGCGUUUACGUCUAGUCGGGCGAUUAGCCAGACUCUAACUUAUUGUAAAGU